rnacentral:rRNA from 1 species
AGUGAACGCUGGCGGCGUGCUUAACACAUGCAAGUCGAACGGUAGCACAGAGAGCUUGCUCUCGGGUGACGAGUGGCGGACGGGUGAGUAACGUCUGGGAAACUGCCCGAUGGAGGGGGAUAACUACUGGAAACGGUAGCUAAUACCGCAUAACGUCGCAAGACCAAAGUGGGGGACCUUCGGGCCUCACACCAUCGGAUGUGCCCAGAUGGGAUUAGCUAGUAGGUGGGGUAAUGGCUCACCUAGGCGACGAUCCCUAGCUGGUCUGAGAGGAUGACCAGCCACACUGGAACUGAGGCGCGGUCCAGACUCCUACGGGAGGCAGCAGUGGGGAAUAUUGCACAAUGGGCGCAAGCCUGAUGCAGCCAUGCCGCGUGUAUGAAGAAGGCCUUCGGGUUGUAAAGUACUUUCAGCGGGGAGGAAGGCGGUGGAGUUAAUAACUUCACCGAUUGACGUUACCCGCAGAAGAAGCACCGGCUAACUCCGUGCCAGCAGCCGCGGUAA